UGGACAUGGUUGAAGGUGGUAUUAGAGCAUCUCCACGAGCAGGAGAAAAAUGAUUCCCAAAACCAGAUAACCAUUUUUUCCUCCCCAAACAGCUCCACCAGCUCACCAAACGCAAUUUACAAUGAGUAAACUUUUAGGGAAGGAGGAAAAAUCUCUCUCCUCCCCCCUCCAAAUAGGGAGCCAGCACCCGAGCGCGAACUACCGACCGCCGAUCCGGACGGCCGCCGCCGCCAAAUCCGCGCCGGAGCCGCCGCCCAGAGGCCCCCCCAGCUGCCCGGAGGCUCGCCGCCGCCCCCGACUCCCUCCCCCGUCUCGGACCUGCAGUUCCCCGGUGCUCUGCCGCCCCGGCCAAGAAGCCGGUAGCCGCCGCCAAACCCGCGCCGACUGCCGCCGCCCCUCGACAACCUGCCUCGUCCCAGCAUCCUCCGGUGCACCGACUCCCUCCCCCGGUGCCCGCUGCCCCUGACUCCCUCCCCCAUUGGCCACCGCGGGAGCUCCGCCGGCCACGGCAGGGCUAUCUCCCCCGAUCUGCCAUCCCAUCCUCCCGGCCGCCUCCUCCUUCAACCUCCCGUCGACCGUGCCCUCCUCCGAAGAUGACUUCACUUGUUCUUCAAUUUUUUGAAGAGCAAUUGUCAGAGGAUGAACAAGAAAUAGAUGAUGAUGAGGAUGAUUUGCUUGCAGUCAUGCUGACGGACAAGGAGAUGAAGAAGAAGAAGUAUGGUUGUUCUAGGCCGGGCAAACAGCUGAUUCAUCGGAGAAGACAGGAAGCUCAACGCCAUCUCAUUCUUGACUAUUUUGCUCCCAAUCUGGUAUAUCCACUCGAUACUUUAGGCGUCAGAAUAGGAUGUGUAGAGAUUUGUUUCAGCGUAUUGCCGAUGCCAUCGUUGUCCAUGACUUGUACUUUGUGCAAAAGAGGAAUUGCACUGGAUUACUUGCCCAUAGUACUUAUCAGAAGAUGACAGCGGCAAUGCGUAUACUUUGCUAUGGUGUGCCCGCUGAUUUGAUUGAUGAUCACUUGGCAAUGGGAGAAAGUAAAGCCAUCAAGUGUUUGAGGCGCUUUGUGAAGGCCAUAGUUGGGAUCUUUGGGGAGGAGUACUUGAGAGCACCCAAUGCACAAGACACCGAGCGUCUUUUAGCAAUGAACAAAGAUAGAGGUUUUCCAGGUAUGCUUGGUUCUGUUGAUUGUAUGCAUUGGAAGUGGAAGAAUUGUGCUAUAGCAUGGCAUGGAUAGUUCACAGGACAUAUGCAUGAUCCAACCAUUAUUCUUGAGGCAGUUGCAAACCAAGAGACUUGGUUUUGGCAUGCUUACUUUGGGAUGCCCGGUUCUUGCAAUGAUAUCAAUGUGUUGCAUAGAUCGCCUCUCUUCUCUAGAAUGGCAAGAGGAGAAGAUCACCCUGUUGAGUUUGAAGCAAAUGGCAGCAAGUACGUACAUCAUUCCCUACUACCUUGCUGAUGGCAUAUAUCCAGCUUGAUCGACAUUUGUGAAGCCAAUAUCAAAUCCCCAAGGUAACAAAAGGAUUCACUUCACAAAGGCUCAAGCUGCUGCUAGGAAGCAUGUGGAGCGGGCAUUUGGGAUCCUUCAAUCCCAAUUUGCCAUUGUGCGUGGACUAGCUAGGUAUUGGGAUCAGAAAACACUUUGGUACAUCAUGAAUGCUUGUGUGAUCAUGCACAAUAUGAUUGUGGAGGAUGAGCAUGGUGGGGUGUUCGACUAUGUCUAUGAGAAGAUGGGAUGGACGGUGUGAUAUGGACAUGCUAACCAUGGAUACGACCUUUGGUACCCUCAAUUCUAUAAUAUUUGACAAGAUUUAUAAUCAGGUGAAUUCAAGUA